rnacentral:tRNA from 1 species
AUCUUUCUAGUAUGAGCGUUAGUACAAGUGACUUCCAAUCACUUAGUCUUGGUUAAAGCCCAAGGAAAGAUA